GACAUUAAUGAGGAUCGGAAGGACAGUCCAGAUAUAAACAAAGGUUUAAAUCUCCGAGAAGGAGACAUCAUGGUGCCUAAUCAAAGGAGCGCCAUUCUUGGGAAUCAGUUCAAGUGGAAUAUUCCUGUCCCCUUUGAAAUGAGUGUGAAUCUCAGUUUGAACUAUAAAGGAGUCAUUUUGAGAGCCCUUGAGCAAUUCAGACUGAAAUCAUGUAUUGACUUUAAGGCCAGAACAGCAGAAGACAUUUCUUACAUCUCUGUGGAGAGUCUU